CGCAGUAAAUUGCAAAUGAUAUUUCAUGGAACAAGUAACAUAUCAUAGGCGCGCGGACAUCGAUGCGCAAAAAUUCACGCACACUUCUGCUCAAAGUUAAGUCAACCUUAUGCGUCAACAUUUACCCAUUUUCGGGUUUCCAUAGCUGAACUGAAUAUAAUUUUGUAAAGACAAGCAACGUAGUAGGGUCUCGGAAGGUCUUUUGGCAUUUUUUAAUUUGAAGUUUUCACCUCGAUGCCAUGGCACUACAGUUAAUAUCCACUUCGACGAUACAUUCAGGAUUGUGUGUUUAGCACAACUAUCCUACAUUGUGACAAAUGUGCUUUUUAUCCUUUCUAACAUACACCUGAGUGCGGAAAUAUCCAACGUGUUGCCGUGGAAAAGUACAUACAAGUAUGUCCAGAUGCUUCUUCUUUCUUUGGAUUGAUGAAGACGAUGCAUACUCAUAUAUACCGUGCAUUCAGAGAGGCGGGAAGGAACAUCAUCCAGAGAUUCUUAUGACGCCCGCAACACGACUUUUUGGGCUGUAUCCGCAUCUGGACGCGCAGAAAAAGCGCCGCCGACACUCGUGUCCCCCCGUCUCGAGACGUGCACCUCUUAAUAAGCGUGGAGGGAGAGCCUCACCUCCCCAGGAAGGAGCAAGGAGCUUUUUCUCGGCAAGAAGUCCUAAUGAAGAACUCAAAAGAUCGUCACAUGCUUCAUGUGUUUAAUAUAUAUGCUACGUACAGAAAUUUAUUAUUGAUAAAAUCCUGCUUAGCGUACUAGUGUUCUAAUCUAAUGUAGUAUUUUUCAGCGUAUCGAAAAUACUCUUUCGAGGUGUAUCUACAUAAUUUAUUGUUCAUUAUUAUAUUGUAUUGUUCUGCUUUUGUUUUCCUUGAAAUACGUUUUUCAGAUUUAUUUUUGGCAGCAUACUGGAACGCUUUCUAGCGGGGCUAAAGAAUAGUGAGACAUAGUGGAAGUGUGAAAUAUCAUUAUAUGGUAAAAUAAUGGGAGCGGUAAUCCUACUUCCGGACACUCUUCUGCAGUAUUUAACAAGGUCCUCCAAAUAGGGGAUUAGCGGAUCCACAGAAAAGCUUUCCUGUUCUCUAUUCAUUCCCUUUCUUACCUUAUAAUUGUAAAACACAGUAUUGGUUCAUUUGGUACAUGAAAAGUAACCGGACGUGUGCAGAACCAUGCGUGGAAAAUAGUAAAGAAAAGCGUGUCGCGAUUAUUUCAAAAAAAAUAUGAAAAGUCGUGAGGGAAGGGGGAGGUUCAAUGAGUGUAACUUUUUUUUUUUUUGUGCGACGACUUGUGUUUGCCCAGGCGUUGCUUUCGUCUGCAUUAUUGAACAUUUGUAAGAAACUUUUAACACAUUUUCUGAUAAUAAUCAAUC